rnacentral:rRNA from 1 species
CUAUGCGCCUUGCCAGCCCGCUCAGUCAGAGUUUGAUCCUGGCUCAGGACGAACGCUGGCGGCGUGCUUAACACAUGCAAGUCGAACGGAAAGGCCCGCUUGCGGGUACUCGAGUGGCGAACGGGUGAGUAACACGUGGGCAACCUGCCCUCAGCUUUGGGAUAACUCCCGGAAACGGGUGCUAAUACCGAAUAUUGACAUUUCCUCGCAUGGGGGUUUGUUGAAAGUUUUUCGGCUGGGGAUGGGCCCGCGGCCUAUCAGCUUGUUGGUGGGGUGAUGCCUACCAAGGCGACGACGGGUAGCCGGCCUGAGAGGGCGAUCGGCCACACUGGAACUGAGACACGGUCCAG